rnacentral:lncRNA from 1 species
ACUUUAUCUACCUCUGACAAAGCCCACCUGAGCAGAGUAAAUACUAGGUGGAAGGAUGGAUACUAAUCUGUUUGCGAACAGUUUAGGAAAAUUAUUUGCAUCAGAUUGUUUUUUUUUUUUUCAUUCUUUAUUUUGUCGUGCAUAUAGAAUACAUAGAUAUGAGCAAUGCCAGAAGAGCUAUUACCCGCCAAGUGAUCGACAUGUAGACAGUUGUAUGGCAUCUAAUAACACUGCACAUUUUAUAAUAUAUUGUGUGCCAGACUAUGCAUAACAUGGGUAAACAGUAACUUGAACGUGGUUUACAGACCUGCAUAACUUUUGGGUCAACAAGUUGGUAGAGGUCAGGUUAGUACUGUGGGUGCCCUUCUGCUCGUGCGGGUUAAGAGAGCAAGCCUGUGCCAAACCCAUUGCAGAAAAAGUGCCACAGUGGGUCGCCCCAAGAAACUGGCUGUUAGAAUCCUAUAGCAAAUUUGAGUAAUAACCACUACUAUGAAAAGCUAUGGGUCCAUGUUUAUCAUACAUGUUAGGCAGGUUAUGAGUUAACUUUUAUAUAUGAGUAGGAGUACAUAGGCCAGCACUUACAGUGCAUGCUAGACAGAUCAAAAGGGCUACAUUUGGGUCUGAAUAUGCUGAAAACAUUAGUGCAGUGCAGGCAUGGUAAUUUCUUGAGGCGUUAUUGCAUUAUUAUUUAAAAUGAGUUAAUGGCAUUAGCUUACUAGGUAUGGCUUGAACUCUAAGGCAUACAGGGCAACGAAGGCAAUGCAUAAAACAGGGUAAAAGUGGUAAUCUAGUCCAAGUGUGUAUAUUCAAUAUUCUGUAGGGGACAGAAGAGUAAUCAAACUUUAAGUUGCCUGUGUGUGCCAGGAGGACACCGGGUGGUGUGGUUACCGCAGGCUUUGCAUGCUUGUUGAGUGUCCUUGUGGGCUGCCUAGCCGAUGCCCCGCUCUGGGAGGUUGCAGGUACAUGUUUGCCAGAGUCCAGCGAGCUGUAUGUGUGGGGUUCUCCAAUACUGGGUUCCGGUGUACUGCUGUGAGCCUGUUGCAUCCGUUCUGCGGUAGAGUGUUGCUGAGGCUCGGGGUCUCCUUGUGUAGCGUGGUCUCCCAGGUUGCUUGGUGUUCUAUGGGAUGGGAGGUUCACUUGGAGGGGGUAUUCUCUGGAGGUGUCGCUGCAUAGGUGUAGGGCGGCAUACCACUGAUCCGAUUUUGCGGUGUCGGGGUUGUCGUUGGUUCCCCGCCUUCUCCCCCCGCUACUCGAGCCGCUCCACGUCCCCAUCCAGGAGCUGCUGGCUGCUGUGUGAGGUUCUGUGGGAUCUUUGCAGGUGGUUCCGUCUCACGGAUUCUCCGGCAAGAGGCAAGAUUGGCCCAGAAGUCGUUUAGUAAGCGAUCAAGCCUCUCCGAUAGAGGGGGCAGCGGGAAACUGGGUGUAGAGUUGUGUGUGGUGUCCGCCAUGCUGUGCCCCGCUCGUUCAGCAAUGCUGGUAUAGCAACAUGAGGCGUCCGCCAUUUUGUGGACUUUAGAGGCUUCCUCCGAACUUAGUGCUUGUUCCCCUCGGGGGCAGCUUGACCAGGUGCUCAAGUGGGGCCGGCCUGGGAUAACCCCUGCCGGGGCCAUGGAGGGGGGAACAAGGGCUCCCUGUCGGGUGUCCUGUCAUUUUUAACAGCAGGAGAGCGUCCAUCUCACCCGCGUGUGCCAUGUUAAGAGGUUGUUAAAGGGUGUCGAGUGUGUGUCGCUUGUCAGGUAUCUGUGCGUACUCCCCGAUGUACCCUUGCUCCGGGUGGCCUUAGUUUCUUGUUUUUUCUCUGUGUUUGCGAUUUAUGUCGCUUAAUAUGGUCCCUUCAAACAGAGCUGUUGAGGCAAGCAUCCUCUCUGCUCCACGAUCAGGCCCCGCCUCUCUGCAUCAGAUUUUAAUAAGGAUAUUGAUCUAAAGUUUGAGCGAGGAUGGAAGAGAACCGUUUGCAAUAUAGUUUUGUGAAGCCUUUCCGCUCGGGCGCAUUGUGAGAUGGUAGAAAUGUUAUGAUUUGUUCAAUUUCUGCUAAUGUGAUUGGGGCUCACGUUGUGCCUAUGAUAAGCUAGGUAAGGUGGUACGUGAUAGAAAUGUAUCUAUUUCUUUUGUGGUUGGUUGGUGUAUGUUUCUAUGUAUGGAUGAAUCCCUAUUUCAAUUAUAUAGUGUACCAUAACAUUUGGCAAACAUGUUACAGAUGUUACAGAUGGUUUUGUGAUUUUCUGUUCUGUAUCAGAAAUCAAGUAGUGUAUUUUGAUCUGUGAAUUCCUCUCACGUGGUGUGAUUGAGAGAAGUUAGUACAUUGUGUUGAUUUGCCUAUAAUAUUUCAUUUUUAGCUUAUGAAACAUGUAAGUUGUUUUGGAACUAUUUUAUUUUAUUUGUUUUGUUUAGUUUUUAAACAGGCUUUUUGUCCAGCUAGGGUAUCAGAAGGUGAGAGAAAGUGAGCAAUGGAAGUGUCACACAAUGUUCUUAAGCAUUUGAACAUUCAGAGUUGGCUUGUUCUUUUUAGGUAUGUAGCUUCUGCUCUUCAAUAGCCCUCUUAUAACAGCUUUAUGAGCUUGCCAUAUGUAGGUUUGCUUUGUAUUUGGAAUGUCAUUAAGUUGGAAGAAUGAUUUCAAUUCUUUAUGUAUUAUGGUGGUAAAAGUUCUUUCAUUCAGUAACGUGUCAUUGAGUCUCUAUUGUCUACAUAGUCUAAAUUUGAAUUGAUCUUUUAAUGUGAAUAGCAAUACCUCCUAAUGAGCAAUUACAUGCUAAGUCAUUGAAUGAGCUUGAAAGGAAACAGAUGUCUAUCCUAGAAUUUAAAUGGUGGGCCGACGAAUAGUAAGAGGAUGAUUUCUUUGCAGCGUGCAGAGUGCUCCAAAUGUCAUAAUAUGCUUAUUCUAUUAGGAGUUUAACUAAUGCUUUGUAAUGGACUUUAAUGAUUUAGAUUUGUCUAAAACCGUGUCUAAUAUAUGGUUAAUUUCUCUGCAGAUUAUUGUAACUCCCUUCUGCUCCGCAGGAACUUUGGUGAAACUUUAUGUAGAAUAUUACGCUGAUGGGUACUGGGGUCAUACAUAGUAACUAAUGUGUUAAGGGAAUUUUGAGAAAACAGACUAAGAUUAUUAUUAUUAUUACUAUGUUUAUUUAUGAAGCGCCAACAAGUUCCAUAGUGCUGUACAAUGGGUAGACUAACAGACACGUAUUUGUAACCAGACAAGUUUGAACAGAGGGAUUAUAGCCCCUGCCCAAUGAGCUUACAUGCUAGAGGGAGUGAGUAUAGUGACACAAAAGGUAAGGGUAGGGUAAGAUGAAAAAUAUACCAUGAGGAUUUUUUUUUUUUAAUAAUUUGAAUGCCACUCCUCUUGUCUUGAAUAUACUCAUCUUGACUUGGUAAUAUAGGGGAAGUGGUGUUGAACAGGGUAAAAAUCGACCUAAGUUGGGGAAUUUUAGUACUUGUAGGUAAAGAAUAUCCACUGCUGCUUUCUGGGCAUCUCUAAGUAAAGUGUCUUUUUAAGUGUUGAUGGUCCUUUAUUAUGUUAUGUGAGUUAUUCAUUUUGCCAUAUUUAUCCACGAGCGGGUGCCUUGUGUUGUUACUUAUUUGUGAGUAUAUCAUAUGUUUUUGUCUGGUCUAGUUUAGUCUCGUUAACGUUUUACAGGUAAAAAUGAGCUGUGAACAUGUCACACACACAUCUAUUUGAACAUAUUACAGGUUGUAUGUGAGGCAACAUAGCAAUCAUGUAGAGGAGCUUCUAAUUAACCUAAGUGUCUUGAAAUGUAUCAUAUUGUGUAGGUAAGAGCCAGAAAGAGGAAAAUAGCAAAGUAAAACUACUUUAAAACUUGCAAAACAAAGUAUAUACAAAUAAUUCACGAAUGGAUUAUUAUGUUGGUCUCAUGUACCAGAAUGGGCAUAGUGAAGAGACAGUUCUAUCCCACACAUUGGUGGGCUGGCUAUGAUAUGUAUAAUCAACAGUAAUGCCUACACAGCAGAGAGGGAUUCAAGUAGGUUCAUUCAGCAAGUGAAUAGAAGCAGUCCCAGAACAAAACACUAAGGGACACCACUUAGCACUUUUGCCCAUCUUGAAAAUUGUACUUUAAUUAAACCUUUUUGUACUCUAUCUAUGAUCUACACACAGAUUUUCAUCUAUACCAGGGGUUCCCAAUGAAUUUUUUCAGUGUAACCCUUUGACAUAAUGUGCUGAUAACAUAAUGUGCCGUAGAGCAGAUAGUAAACAGAUAGUAGUACUUAGGAGCAGGUGUGCUUUUGUGUGUACAGUUGUUGUUUGUAUAUAAUGUUAGGGUUUUGAUACAGGGGUGUAUUUGUACUCAGAUACACACAGUGACACAUACACAAACCUUGACACACAGAUACACACACUGACACAAACUCAGACACACAUACACUCUCACUGACUAAAUGGCUGCUGGGCUGAGUGGCUGGCAUGCAGGCAUAUAGUGUGGGAGAUGAGAGAGCAGUGAUCUUCCUGCUCAGCUCCCUCGCGCUCCUCUUAAUGAUGCCGGGCCGGAGUAACGUCAUGUUCCAGUUCUGGCAUCACGACGGGGCACGUGAGGGAGCCAAGCAAAGGAGUGUGCCCCCUCGUCGCCGGCCUCAAUUAUCAGCGGCACCGACCAGGCCAAAUCACGGCGGCCAUUUUUUUGCUGAAUCCCAUUUGUGUUCUCGCGUAACCCCAAGGUUCAGUGGAACACCAAUUGGGAAACGCUGAUCUAUACCAAUUUCUUUUAAUUUGAAAAUUAUUCUAUUGUGUGGAACUGUGCCUUGGUAAACACUACUUUAGUACUUUCCUGUCCUUGGGGCGUAGUUUACAUUAAAGGACCACUAUAGUGCCAGGAAAACAAACUUGUUUUCCUGGCACUAUAGUGCCCUGAGGGUGCCCCCAUCCUCAGGGUCCCACUCCUGCCGGACUGAAGGGGGAGGAAGGGGUUAAUCCCUUACCUUUUCUCCAGCGCCGGGCUCCCUCGGCGCUGGGACUGUCCUCCCUCUUCUGACGUCCCUAGCUGAAUGCGCAUGUGCGACAAAAGCCACGCGCGCAUUCAGCCAGUUCAUAGGAAAGCAUUCUCAAUGCUUUCCUAUGGGCGCUGGCGUCUUCUCACUGUGAAAAUCACAGUAUGAAGCGUGGAAGCGUAUGUGAGUGUAUGUCAAUGAGACAGCCACUAGAGGCUGGAUUAAUCCAUAGCAGUUAAUUCUCUGAAACUGCUAUGUUUACAGCAAAAAGGGUUAAACCUAGCUGGACCUGGCACCCAGACUAUUUCAUUAAGCUGAAAUGGUCUGGGUGCCUAUAGUGGUCCUUUAACUUUCUUUAGUUGUUGAGUAAUGCAAUCAUAAUUUACCUGCAUUUUUUUUUUCAUUUUCCUUUAGGUUCCAUCUUGUAUAUACUGAUUAAAAAUAAUUAUUUAAAAUGUCUGCCUUCUCUUACUGAUCUUCAUUUACUAACAUAUCCCUCUCUGAUUUCUGUUAACCUACACUUUUUUUUUAAUUUUAAAAUUUUUUUAUUUAUGUACUUUUUUGGGUUGAUUGCUUUCUUUGGCUAUCACUUUCUCAUUUUCUAGUUUAUUUUAUCUAAUUUCCUUUUUACAUGCAUUAUCGGCUUCCUUAUAUUUUAUACAGGAUGCCUCCGAUUUGUCUGAUUUAAAUGUGUUAACCCCUUAAGUACUGAGCCAGUUGUACACGUUGUGAUCAAAACAAAAUGUAAACAAAAACUGGAAUCUGCGCUAUAUGUCUGUUCAACAGUAAUUCACCUUUUUCAUAUUAAGUGCACCCACACUUAUUAUAUAUAAUGUUGUUCAGGAGAAACAGGGCUUUCAUUUCACAUGAACUACUUGUUAAAAAAUGUCCCAAUUUUUUUUUUACAUUAUUUUAGUUCUGCGUAACAUUUUAACUGUGAAUGUCAUCAUACUGUUAGGUUUUACUGCAAUAAAAUGCACAUAUUUGUAUUCAUCAAAGUCUCACAAGUACAACAGUACCCCCAUGUGCAGGUUUUUUGGUGUUUUGGAAAAUUACAGGGUCAAAUAAAGCACGUUUCAUUUUUCAGUUUAUACACAUUGAAAUUUGCCAGGCUGAUUAUGUUGCCUUUGAGACUGUAUUGUAGCCCAGGAAUGAGAAUUACCCCCAUGAUGGUAUACCAUUUGCAAAGACAAAAAGACAAUAUGGGGUAUGUCCAGUCUUUUUUAGUAAUGACUUAGUCACAAACAGUGGCCAAAGUAAGCAUUUAUAUCUGUGUGUUAAAAAUGUGCAAUACCGGGGGGCGUGGUCUGACUGUCGAUGAGACCAGACGUAUUCUACUAGAGCUCCGUUCCACCGGCGCCUAAAGCUACAAAAGCGACCUUAAAUUGCAGCAUUUUCUACCCUCAUAUACCCUAUCAUGGAUAGGAGACCCCCCAAGAAGCAGCCCAAGAGGACCACGGAGUCCGGGGGCUCCGUUUUGGACCUUCUUACAGCAUCUCGGCACAGCCGCGCCGACAGCCAAGAUGGCGACGGGGGCUCCCCACACGCAUCGCCUGGCGCGGAUAGAGAGGCACUCUCUGCGGAACAGAACACUGUUCUAGCAAAACUGGCAGAAGUCAGAUCUUUCCUUGCGGGGGAGAUCGCCAAAUCAACGGCGGUACUACAGGCGGAUAUUUGCGCUCUGGAGGAGCGUACUGCUAAAUUGGAGGAACGCAUGGAAGCGACAACUCAGGCCCACAAUGAAGUUGCCGAUAGAGUAAAUUGCAUGACGGCUCACGUUAUUGAUAUGGACCUGGCUCUGGAAGACAUGGCCAAUCGUUCUAGGAGGAAUAACAUUCGCCUGAGAGGCUUACCAGAAGGGCCAGAUGAAGACUUACAAGUGCUGUUAAUGUCGAUCUUCCAGCCUCUCCUCCCACACAUUUCGGAGGAACAUUGGCAUAUGGAGAGAGCCCAUAGGGCGCUAAAGGCGCAAAGAGCGGAGGCCAACACCCCGAGGGACGUCAUUAUAAACUUUCUAUACUACAAAACCAAAGAGGCUUUGAUGAAGAAGGGUAGAGCUGGUCCUAUCCGACAUGAUGGAGCCCUUAUUUCAUUCUACCAAGAUCUGGCCCCUUCGACGCUACAGAGGAGAAGGGACUGGCGGCCCAUUACUGGGGCUCUGAGAGGGGCUGGCCUGAAAUAUGCCUGGGGCUUCCCCUUUAAAUUGAUGGUCUUCCGUGACGGCCGUGCGCACAUCCUGUCGCCGGGGGGAGACCCGAAGCGCCUGUUCCAUGGCCUGGGGCUCCAGCCUCCCCCGGAUCUGCCUAACUUUGCGAUGGGACCGGAGGAGCUGCCACAGAUACAAGCGGAGUGGCGCGGAGUGGGACCUAGAAGCCAACGCUGAACCUAGCGGUAUCGUAUACUCCUCUUAUACCAGCAAGAGAUAUUAUUAUUGUUUUUUCCCUUGUUGCGGGCAACCGAGACUUCCUUUUUUGUUGGGCGGGGGAUGGGGCAGGGGGACUCAGAAGCGCACGUUGCGCUUGGGCCUUACCUCUGAGUUGGCUGCUUGUGACUGUUUUUGCCAGGGAGAUCGGGGCCACCUGUUUUUUGACCCCCGGUUGACCCUUGUUUAUACUACAGGUGUUUCCUGCGACGAUAAGGGCUGCGUUGGGGUACCCCCCCUCCCCCGGGUGCAGAUGCUGAGGCUACUCCCCCCAGACUUGGACCACAGCACCACUGCACCUCACGUGUAUGAUUUUUAUUGUUGUUUUUCACUCUGGGUCGGUGUGGGGGAAGAAGAUCGAACAUGGGACUUUAAAAAUCCGGAUUAUAUAAUGUAGACUGUGUGUGCUAGUGCCCCAUUGAUGUCACUGUCCGGGUACAUUUAUGCAGCUCGGGGCCCGCAGGGCAAGUCGCCCGUAUGUCCUCUCCGUGGGCGGUAUCCCCCUCUUAGUGUUUUUGUCCCGUGUUUCUGUUUGAUUACUGUCCAGUGCCCCGAGACCUUCCCCCUAAACGGGAAGAUAAGUUUUAAUUUACGACAAAACACAAAAGCAAAAAGAAAAAUUAUAAAAAAAAAAAAAGGUUUAGGAAGGGGUGGGUUUGGUGGGCACUGUAUGUGUAAAUCGCAGGUGUUUGGUAAUAAUGGGGUUAGUGGGUGAAAUCUGGUAAUGCAUUGUUUAGGUUCAUUUUAUGGCGGUGUAGUUGUAGAUGCAUAGGUUGGAAUGAUAGAGCCGUCCGCUUUAACUGCGGAUACCGUUAUCUUAGGGAUCUCCCUUUUUAAUGAUGAAGGGUCCCAAACAAUAUGCAUAUGGAGUGGAGGUCCUGGCGGGAAUGGGGGUGUAAGGGGCGAUAUGGGGGUGUGGUUGGACAGUGAAUGGAAAUUCCCCCCCCGCAACACAAUACGGUGAUUUGGAUAAUGAAGGGUAGGGCAUAAUGUGAGUCGACCACUGAAGUCAGGAAACAACAAGGGAUAGCAUUCCAAACCUGGUGAAGCCUUAUUUAGUUUUACCGCUGAAAUGGAGCUGGUAUACUUAAUCACGUAACAGUGCGCCUGACCUGUGCACCAGUAUGUAUAGCUACUCUCCCCCCUCGGGCUGUUGGCCCCAACUUAUGGCUUACGACGGUGGGCCUGGCCCCAGGCGUUCGCGGACCCGCUUGGCGUUCCUUUGAUGGGCGGGGUGGGCCGCGUUUGCCUGGGGACGGCUACUAUAGCUGGGAUUUCAUGGGGGCCGCUGCCUCCUGUGCGGCUGCUUGCCCCCUCCGGCCGGCCCUGUACUGGUUCCGGGGGAUCGGCCGGGGGGGCGACCGUCCGGUCGGGUGGGCAGUGGUUCCUGGUGUGAGGGGAAGGGGUCCACUCGCUCCAGCAGGUGGGGGGAAGGUGCCAUGACGGUAAAUGUACAUAUUUCUUUUUUGUCAGUUCCCUAUCUAGUUUUUAAGUUUUUUGGGGUAAUAAUUAUAGAUAAGUAUGCCAGACCACGGUGGCCCCAGACUUGAUUGCACACACAUUCACCGUGAGGUCUCCCCUGGUAUGCUUGAUGAUAGAGGGCCGCGGAAAUUACGAGCUCAAGGUCACCAUACUAGCACCUCAUGCUGAUCAUUAGGAGAAUACCUGUCCAUGACGCUAUUGAAUUUGGAGGGGAGGCAGAAUAUCUACCACACCAAGGGGUCAGUGGCGGGCGGGGACUGACACAGAGUUCCCCGAGUGGAGCCGGCCCGGGGGCGGAGGGGGCAAGGAAUGCCAGUGGGUUAUAUUUGACAAGCGAAAGGUUUUUUGAUGUAAAGGUCCAAGUAUCUUACAAUUGGCGCCUAAUUGGUAGGAGCUCAGUAACCCGCUGUUCCUCCCAACGUUGAUCGUGGCAGGGAAACAGGACCACGUUCCCCAAAAUAUUCUGGCGGAUGGUAAGACCAGAAUUUCAGUGCAUCGGACUGUGUCCAGGUGCAGUUUUUCUUACUAUUCUGUAUUCUAUUCCCUCUUUUCUUUUCUUCUAUCCCCUUUUUCUCUUUCCAGGGGGGGCUGCGGGGUCGGGGGGCUGGCAGAGGGCUUGCUUCAGGGACCCGAUAGAGAGUCUGAGAGGACAAAGUCCGUGAGAUCAUUAAACAGAGCCUUAAUUGACUCGCCUGAUGGAGAUUAAAAUCAUAUCCCUGAAUGUUAAGGGUUUAAACGCUCCUAAGAAGCGUAGACUCCUAUUGCGGGAACUAAAAAGAAUGAACUCGGACAUUGCUUUUGUCCAAGAGACCCAUUUGCCAGCACAGGCUAAGUUUAGGUUGAAAGAUCACGCGUAUGCAGGCUCUUUUGAAGCCAGGUCCCAUUGCAAACGAAAUGGCGUAGCGAUUCUCAUUAGAAGUAGCUGCCCCUUCCGUCAAACUCAUUUUGAAGUAGACCCGGAAGGUCGAAUGGUUAUCGUCUCAGGCGUUUUACAUUCACAUACGGUCCAUUUGAUUAACAUCUACGCGCCGAACCAGCCAGACCCAUUGUUUUGGGUGGUGCUUAAGGAGAAAAUUAGGGGGUUGCCCCAUGGAAUGAUAUUUUUAGGGGGCGAUUUCAAUGCGGCCCCGUGCCCGGCGGUGGACAGGAGCUCGCGGUUGGGUGCUCCUAGGUCACAGGGUAGGGGGGGACAAGACCGUCUGCUUAAAGAUUUUAUAGCCGCCACAGGACUCGUAGACAUCUGGAGAGCCCACCACCCAGGUGAUAAGGACUACUCUUUUUACUCAGCUCCCCACGGAACGUACUCAAGGAUAGACCUCUUCUUGACUAACGCAGCAGGCAUGUCCCGAACUGUAGGAUCCCGGGUAGGCAACAUCCCAUGGUCGGAUCAUGCUGAUAUCUCCAUCACGCUGGGUAACUUAUGUAUCGCCUCACCAUGGACGUGGAAAUUGAACACGUCCCUACUUCAAGACCCAGAGAUACUGGAGCAAGUCAGGAGAGGAAUCACGGAAUAUUUUGAAUGGAAUACCACCCCCGAGGUGAACGCAUGCACGAUUUGGGUGGCCCACAAGGUAGUUAUCAGAGGGACCUUGAUCAAGCUGGCCACCAGAAAAAAGAAAUUGAAAUACCAACAGCUGGAGAAGUUGCUGGGGAACCUGAGAUCCUUGGAACAAAGACAUCAAGCGGUGCCGACAGAGGACACCCUCAGGCAAUUGGGAGCAGUAAGACGGGACGUUCGCACUUUAUUAUUAGAUGAUGCGGCUAGGGCUAUGACCUGGUCAAAACGGACUUUUUUCGAGAAGGCGAACAAAAUGGACACCCUAUUAGCUAGAACGCUUAGACCGAGGCAAGAGAGAUCCCACAUAACGGUGCUCAAACACUCAGACGGUACGAAGAGAACAAGACCAGUUGAGAUAGCUGAGAUUUUUGAGGAUUUUUACAAAAGAUUAUACAACCACACCCCGGACGGAAGCCCUCACGGAGACCAUGAAGAAGAGUGUAUUUUGCAAUAUCUAGACAAGCAGGGGAUGACUAGAUUGACUGGGGAGGCGACACACACGCUGGCGGCGGAUAUUUCGGAAGAGGACGUGGACAAAGCUAUCUCGAGCUUGAAAGGCAAUAAAGCACCGGGGCCAGACGGGUUCGAUGGUUCAUAUUACAAAACCUUUAGAAAAGAGCUAACGCCACAUUUAGUCCAACUAUUCGAUAGCCUACGGCAGGGUAGACAUUUGGACCCAGACAUGUCAUUGGCGACCAUAGUGCUCUUGCCCAAGCCCGGGAAGGAUCCAUUAUAUCCUGAAAACUAUAGGCCCAUUUCGCUGAUCAACCAUGAUCUGAAAAUAUUAGCGAAAAUACUGGCCGAUAGGUUGAACCCUUUGCUGAAUUCUCUCAUCAAUGCAGAUCAAGUCGGUUUCAUCAGGAGUAGACAAUUAUUCGAAAACACUAGACGGAAUAUUGAUUUGAUAUGGAGGCAGGUGGCAUUGGGGACCCCUACAUUAGUAGUCUCCAUUGAUGCAGAGAAAGCUUUCGAUAGAGUCCGGUGGCAAUUUCUGUUCCCAGUUUUAAAGAACAUGGGCUUCCCAGAAGAAUUCCUAACAAUGACGAGAGCAAUGUAUCACAACGUACGGGCACAAGUGCAGAUAUCGGGGGCCCCACUACAUCCCUUCCAGCUGCAUAACGGAACAAGACAGGGAUGCCCACUUUCUCCCCUUCUUUUCGUUUUGGCCCUGGAGCCCUUACUCCAGGCAGUCCGACGACACCCGAACAUCGCUGGUGUACGGGUGGGGGACAAGGAAUUUAAGGUUUCAGCUUAUGCGGACGACGUCCUCCUGACCAUCACGAACCCUAUGGAAUCAAUGGCAGCAAUACAAGAAGUCAUAGCAGAGUACGGUACGUUAUCAGGUUAUAAGGCAAAUAUUCAGAAAUCCAGUGCCCUACCACUGUGCUUGUCGCAAGCUGAUACGGUUAGGUUACAGGAGAUUUACCAGAUCCGCAUGGAAACGGACUCUCUGAAGUAUCUGGGAAUUAAUAUGACAGCUGAUCCCGAACGCUUAUACUUAGCUAACUACACCCCUAUCUUCCGAGACCUAAUGAGAGACUUAGACAACUGGACUGAAAAACCCAUAUCCUGGGUCGGUAGGAUAAAUUCAGUGAAGAUGAACAUCCUUCCACGUAUAUUAUUCCUCUUCCAGGCGCUACCUAUAAGAGUAACGAAGAUGCAAUUGCUACCACUGCAAAGAUCGAUUGGCGAUUUUAUUUGGCAGAACAAGAGACAUCGAAUUGCUAAACAAGUGUUAUACCGUCGUAAGGACAGAGGGGGAUUGGGCCUUCCGAAUCUCUAUUUCUACUACUUAGCGGCUCAACUGGCGCAGAUAGCCAUGUGGCAUUCCACAAUGGAUGAGAGAAGGUGGGUGGAAAUAGAGUCUAUGAUGGUGGGUGUUGACGUACCCCAGUUUACGAUAUGGGUCUCGCCGGAACAUAGACCGGAGAUACGAAAAACAUGCCCGGCAAUCCUCAACUCGAUCCGAAUAUGGGACACUUGUAGCACAAAAUACGGACUGGCAUCAUCCCCUUCCCCAUUGACCCCUUUUUUAAGAAACAGGGAAUUCCCACCUGGUAUGGCCCCCAGAGAUUUCAGGAACAUCGAAAGGACUGGGCUACAAUGGAUUCAUCAAUUAUAUCACAAUGGAGAGGUAGUACAAUUUGCAGAUCUUCAAGCAGGAAACCACCUAACCCCUGCGGAUUUCUUUAGGUAUGUUCAAAUACGUGACUUCGCCAAAAAGCCACAUAUCAAAUCGUCUGCCUCCGGGAAGCCCACUUUUUAUGAGAGGAUUUGCUCGGAGGGGGUAACCCCCAAGGGGUUGAUUACUCUCUUAUACGCACACCUUAGCGGAGAAAAUAAAGAAUGGGGGAAAUUAACUUACAUUGACCAAUGGGAGAAUGAUCUCGGGGAGAUUUUGGAAGGGGUCGAGUGGCAGGAGAUAUGGGACGCAAGCGCUAGGGUCUCCAUUUGUGUCACCCUUCAGGAGCAGGCAUGGAAAACUAUGUUCAGAUGGUAUACUACCCCAGUCAAACUUCAUAGAAUGCACAAACGGGAGACAGAUGAUUGUUGGCGAGGAUGUGGAGCACGAGGGACCUAUAUUCAUAUGUGGUGGGGGUGUCCAAGGCUACUAGGUUUCUGGAAGUCUGUUGAAGACCUGUUGAGACAGACGUUUGAUAGACCCCUGAAAAUGUUGUUGAAUAGAUCAAUUGAUGGAUGGACCAAAAGGGAGCAGAAGUUGGUACACAAAAUCACACUGUGUGCACGCAGAGCAAUAGCGUCAGCAUGGCUUACAUUAGAGGGCCCGGAUUUUGCGGGGGUUAUAUCUAGAAUUAAAGAAUGUAGAGUGAUGGACGAUCUAACAGCAAGGGUGAGAGGUAAUGUAUCGACGUUCCAUAAAAUUUGGGAACCUUGGGACAAUAGUGUAGUUGGCUCGAGAGGAGAGUGAGAGCCUCCCCUCGCCCAAGUAUGAUUCGUAACGGAAAUCAUCACUGCUAGCGGGGUCUUCUGUGCCAGCGGGGUUGCUGCUUUUUGACCCUUCCCCGUUUGCCCCCCCCCCCUCCUUUUCUCCCUCCUCUAAACCUCCCUCUAAUUUACUGCACACUCUUUCCUAUCUAUCUCUUUUUUUCCCUCUUUUCUUUCCUUUUUCUCUGCUUUUGUUUUUAAUUUUUUUUUUUCCAGGCUAGGUCAUACGGUGGGAGGAAAAUGUAACAAUGACACAACACUGAUUAGCGCAUCUGUUUGAUUGCUGUCAUUUGUACCUACUUGUAUCAUGAUCUGCAUAUAUCCUCUCUAUAGAUGGCAAACGCCUACCGUACAAUGAGAAAUGGGUUGGCAUUAAUAGAGCGGAGUGGUUCUUGAUUACUCCUAUCUGGCAUAGCAGUUAUUUAGCUUAUACAUAGGCCCAGCUGGGAUCACAUGCCUCUUAUAGAUAAGGAGCUCAUAGACUACAAGAUAUCUACUUAACCGGCAGACGCCAACAGUAUGGCAAGGUUGGAGUUUAUUCAGUGUGACCAAAAGGAAUUGUACUUUAAUUGACUUAUUUAUCAGCCUUAACAGGGAUCGGGCAAAAGGUUUUUUUUCUUUUUUUCUGUGAAUAUAUUGUUUAUAAUUGCAUAAAAAUAAAAAAUCCUCAGUAGACGGCAAGUGCCGAUGGCUCAAUUAUGAAUGGGCAUAUACUAUAAUUGUCAAGCUGUAUUAUGUAUACUAUUAUUAUUACAAUGGCUUUUGCAUAAGACCAAAGUCGUUAAUAACUUGCUAUGUCUAUUGAGUAAAAAUAAAGAAUUAAAAAAAAAAAAAAGAACACUAUAAAGUUUUAUUAAAUUUUGAAAAUUUAAAAAAAAUAAAAAAAAAUGUGCAAUACCUUGGGUUGUCUUCUUUUGCAAAUGGUAUGCCAUCAUGGGGGUAAUUCUCAUUCCUGAGCUAUCAUAUACUCUCAAAGGCAACAUAACCAAUCUGGCAAAUUUCAAUUUCAAUUUGAAAAAACAGAAAUAUUAGUGUUUCAAGACAGUAAAACAUGUCACAAUGAUGAUAUUGUUAGUGAACGUUAUUGUUUUCCUUUUUAUACGCACAAAUGGCACUUUCAAUGAUGAUAUCUUUGUUGUUAUAUGUUUUACUGUUUUGAAACACUAAUAUUUGUAUUCAACAAAGUCUCCAGAGUAAAACAGUGCCCCCCAUGUAUGGGUUUUAGGGUGUCUUGGAAAGUUACAGGGUUAAAUAUAGUGCUAGCAAAUUUUAUUUUCUGGACUUUCUGCCUGGGUUGUCAGACAGGUCCCUCAUAUUGUAAUCAAUAAAAAUAUGUAAUUAUGUAAAAAUAUUACAUAAACAUGGACGUAGAAUUUAAAUAUAUAUACAUAUUUAUAUAUAUAUGAAGUCUACGUGUACAUUUAUGAAGUUAUGUAAUUAUGUAUAUGGAUAUAUUUAUAUUUUUUAUUAUUUUUAUAUAUACUAUAUAUAUAUAUAUAUAAUUUCAUUCUAAGUUUAUUUUGAUAUGAAUAUAUAUACUCAUAUCUGUGAUGGACCGCCUAGUACUCUGGCCAAGUGCCUCCUCCAAUCGAUGCUCCUAGUGCUCAUCGAGGAAUUCCAGCACUCCACCAGACACCAUAAGCAGUGCAGACCCCACUUCCAGCAAUAAAGCUGCGCCGGGGUCUCGCCGUCCUUCACCCACUCUGGAACCAAGACCGGGAUACAGCUUCCAGUGGGCAGACCUCUCCUACUCCCAGAGAGCAUAGUAGAAACAGCUCUUAAAAGAGCUUAGUGAUUAUAAUCCCAGGAGAGUAUAGUGAUAUAGCAAUCCCCAUGGUAGAUGCAGCCUUUUCCCCCACAGGUGAGACGAGGCUCUAUGUUGAGGGUAAAACAGGAAUUCAAUUUUAAUGGAGGCACACUGGCCUUUUAUGCAGGUUUCCCAACAAAGGUGACGCCCAGGUGGACCUUGCUGGGCACAGGGACACAAAGUGUACAAGCCAAUAGAAACAAUGUGACAAUGAAUGACACUCCCACAUACAGUACACAAACACUCCCCUCUGCCUGUGAUAUAAUUAAGGCAGAUAAUGCAUUAACUUAAUUAUCCCCAGGCAGAAAAAAAACACAUUUUUAUAAAGUCCAGUAAGUACCCCAAAACACAACAUAUCCCCAUAGUUACAUCCCCUGAUAGCCCUGAUCUGGGUGAACAACAUAUCAAAAAAUCACCCAGAUCAGUUCAGGGGUUCAGGAAUUUCCUGGAAGUCAUAGUUUUGACCGACUGUGCAUGUGGUCCUAUGCCCAAAACAGUUCCAGGGAAACAGGGCCAGCGGUAGUUCUCUCUUUCUGGAGUACAAAAGUACUUACAUUACAUGAAUGGAGCCUUUUAAAGUGGAUUGGGCAAGGUAUAUUGCAGGGCCCAUAGUCACAGGGUAGGAGGCAAGCAAACAGGCCCCUCCCAAAAACAGUGGCGAGGUCAUUUUCGCCACAAUAUCAAAAUACAGUUAGAAUGAAAUUACAUAUAUAUUUUUUUUUAAAUCAUUUAUUUAUUUAUUUUUAUUAUUUAUAUUUUAUUAUAUAUAUAUUUAUAUAUAAUAUAUGAAGUUAAUAUAUAUAUAUAUAUAUAUAUAUAUAUAUAUAUAUAUUUAUAUAUAUGUGUGUAUAUAUAUAUAUAUAUGUAUAUGUGUGUGUUAUUUAAUACUGUGAAUUUUUAUAUUAAUAUAUGUACAGGGAGUGCAGAAUUAUUAGGCAAAUGAGUAUUUUGACCACAUCAUCCUCUUUAUGCAUGUUGUCUUACUCCAAGCUGUAUAGGCUCGAAAGCCUACUACCAAUUAAGCAUAUUAGGUGAUGUGCAUCUCUGUAAUGAGAAGGGGUGUGGUCUAAUGACAUCAACACCCUAUAUCAGGUGUGCAUAAUUAUUAGGCAACUUCCUUUCCUUUGGCAAAAUGGGUCAAAAGAAGGACUUGACAGGCUCAGAAAAGUCAAUAAUAGUGAGAUAUCUUGCAGAGGGAUGCAGCACUCUUAAAAUUGCAAAGCUUCUGAAGCGUGAUCAUCGAACAAUCAAGCGUUUCAUUCAAAAUAGUCAACAGGGUCGCAAGAAGCGUGUGGAAAAACCAAGGCGCAAAAUAACUGCCCAUGAACUGAGAAAAGUCAAGCGUGCAGCUGCCACGAUGCCACUUGCCACCAGUUUGGCCAUAUUUCAGAGCUGCAACAUCACUGGAGUGCCCAAAAGCACAAGGUGUGCAAUACUCAGAAACAUGGCCAAGGUAAGAAAGGCUGAAAGACGACCACCACUGAACAAGACACACAAGCUGAAACGUCAAGACUGGGCCAAGAAAUAUCUCAAGACUGAUUUUUCUAAGGUUUUAUGGACUGAUGAAAUGAGAGUGAGUCUUGAUGGGCCAGAUGGAUGGGCCCGUGGCUGGAUUGGUAAAGGUCAGACGCCAGCAAGGUGGAGGUGGAGUACUGGUUUGGGCUGGUAUCAUCAAAGAUUAGCUUGUGGGGCCUUUUCGGGUUGAGGAUGGAGUCAAGCUCAACUCCCAGUCCUACUGCCAGUUCCUGGAAGACACCUUCUUCAAGCAGUGGUACAGGAAGAAGUCUGCAUCCUUCAAGAAAAACAUGAUUUUCAUGCAGGACAAUGCUCCAUCACACGCGUCCAAGUACUCCACAGCGUGGCUGGCAAGAAAGGGUAUAAAAGAAGAAAAUCUAAUGACAUGGCCUCCUUGUUCACCUGAUCUGAACCCCAUUGAGAACCUGUGGUCCAUCAUCAAAUGUGAGAUUUACAAGGAGGGAAAACAGUACACCUCUCUGAACAGUGUCUGGGAGGCUGUGGUUGCUGCUGCACGCAAUGUUGAUGGUGAACAGAUCAAAACACUGACAGAAUCCAUGGAUGGCAGGCUUUUGAGUGUCCUUGCAAAGAAAGGUGGCUAUAUUGGUCACUGAUUUGUUUUUGUUUUGUUUUUGAAUGUCAGAAAUGUAUAUUUGUGAAUGUUGAGAUGUUAUAUUGGUUUCACUGGUAAUAAUAAAUAAUUGAAAUGGGUAUAUAUUUGUUUUUUGUUAAGUUGCCUAAUAAUUAUGCACAGUAAUAGUCACCUGCACACACAGAUAUCCCCCUAACAUAGCUAUAACUAAAAACAAACUAAAAACUACUUCCAAAAAUAUUCAGCUUUGAUAUUAAUGAGUUUUUUGGGUUCAUUGAGAACAUGGUUGUUGUUCAAUAAUAAAAUUAAUCAUCAAAAAUACAACUUGCCUAAUAAUUCUGCACUCCCUGUAUAUUAAUAAAAAAAAUACACUUAUCAUGACAUUAUAUAUAUUGAAGGCUUGGCCUGAAGUUGUGGGAGGGGCUUAUGGACCAUCAAUACAAACUGCCUAAACUCUAAACAAGUUGGUCCUGGUCUAGUGUGGCCCACGCAAGUAUAUAUUUUACCUCACUCUAGUAAACAGCCGCCUCAUUAGAAGCUCCUGGGGCACUGCCGCGUCCAGCCCAGCCACGGCUUCUAUAACUGUUGGUUUUUCAACAAGGCCGUAAGUUUGUUUGUUCAGCCAUUUGAAUAUGGCAAAUUUUACUAGUGAAGCAAAUUCAGCCUAUUUCAAUCGUACAUAACAUGCCUCAUUCUCCUUACUGUAUUUGGCAGUGAUGCCUCAUUCUGCUUGCUGUAUUUUGGCAGCAAUGCCUCAUUCUGCUUACUGUAUUUUGCCCUCACUAGGCCAUAUCGACUUUUAUCACCCUGCAAUUGUUUCACUCUACAUUUCAUGCACUUUUUGAGUCUUCACUGUUUAGUAAUAAUGUGGCCAGGUGUUUUGCCACUGACUGUCUAAAUUUAUGUCAGGCCCAAAAUUGGGCCUAUACAUUUGGUAAAAUAUAAACUUGUAUAUACAUUCUCUGUACACAUAAAUGUAAAAUCCCUUAUUUUCUGAAAGGAGAAUAUCUUCUAAAUGUCUUAAGUCUUCUUACUAAAUGACCUCAAAUUCAUAAAACGGUAUCAUAUGCAUUUCAGUUAGUCACCCUACAUUUUAAUGUUUGUCUGCCCUCUGGGUAUUCAGGUACUCAUUGGGCCAACCUUGUUUGGUAAUUCACUGUUUAGUAGAUAUGCCCCAAAUGACAGCAUGUGCACAUUUAAUUAUGUAAUUUUCAUUGGGGUAUAAUCUUAAACAGCUAGCUAAACUUGCAGUUCUCUUGUCUACUGCUUUUGCAUUCCCUCACUUUCUAACAAUACACAGACUUUCUUUGUACGGUCUACAUGCAUUAGGAACAUCAUUCAGUCAUGUUCAGUUUAAGCAAUGAAGUUUUAUAUCUCAUGCUAAUAUCACUGAGAUAUUCUAGGAUUAUUCUAGCAUUUUCUGUUGCUUUCAACCCUAAUCUUCAAUGCCAGCUGUGUAUGCAUAAGUAUUUAUCAUCCUCCUAAGCAUUCCAGGUGUAGGUCUUUUUAAUGUAUGUCUUAUAUCUCCUGUCUUUUCCUAUGUAUUGUGUACGACCAUCAUAGUCUCUAGCCUGUUCAGCCACUGUGGCAUUCUAGAGGUUCCCGUUUUGAUUCUGUCUUCCAACACCUCGUCUUUUGGGCUCAGUGCAAAUGUAUUAUAUGAUGUUUUUUAAGUGUUUAUAUACAGUUUCUGUUCUUUUCACCAUUUCAUAAACUAGAUGAUUAUUUGUAACUAUCGGGUUCUUUAUUAUCUCAUCACCAACAUGUCUUAGCUACAUACACAAACUCCACAACCAUUCUCCGAUUCACAUCCUACCUUCACCCGCAUUAAUCCCAACACAGUCUGCACAACCACCCUGAAACUCGGGAUACAAAUCAGGAUACACAUAUUUCCUACUCCUGGCAUCACUCUGCCUUUACAAUGUGUGUUCAUAUGCCCUGUAAUGGGCAACCUGCCACAGGCUUAUUCUGCACCUCGUUUGGGCAUUUCAUUGGAAACAUUUAUAGAUUUUGGAAGAAUAUAAUGUCUUGUUUUAGGUUCUGGGUAGUACAUUUAUAGGCACCUAGUAUAUGGAUAUCAUUUUUUUACAGUUAUGUAGCAGUAAUAUUUCCUCGGUCUGAUUAGCAUAAUGCCACAAACAGGUAUUACCUUCGAUGUGGCAUUUUAGAUGAGUUACGAUAGACGAUACGCCUUGGGACACAUUGCCUAUAUUUACAUGUGCAUUUCUGCAGUCUAGGGCUUUGCUUCCAAACAUAUUUAUGUGUCUUUUCUAAUCUUAUUUUGAGAUUUCCCUAAAUAUGUUUGCAUGGUUUAACACUACAGUUCCUGUCUGCGGAUAUUUGGUCCUGUGGCUUUCCGGGACGCCAUGGGGCCUGUACAUGGGGGAUACAGUGGUACUCACAAUGUCUUGCUAACAUCCAUUUCCUUAUGUCUUAUCAAAUCAUAUUAUUUUACAGGUUAUCAAUUCGGAGCAUCAUUUGCUUUUCAGACCUCGCACCCAUUUGUCAGUUACGGUUCUUUUCAUAGGUUAUAGAACUCUCCUUCCCAUCUCUGCCUCCUUUAGGGGGUACUCAAGAUUUCAGUUACAGGUUACAACCAUACCAUACAGAACUACACAAACUAUUAUAUAAAUUCAAGUAAGUUUUUAGCCACAAUGGCUCCCCCGCAAUAUAGACCUUUUCAGUGUGUAGGUUUUACUGGCUUAUAGGGAUCUAGGUGACCAAUAGAUGUUAAGUUUCUGGCAUCUCUGCCUUGGAGUUGGUGGUUCCGCAAGGCCAACACCCAUCCUCCACACAUGAGGUAUUACGCACCCUGGGCCAAAACAUAGUUACCCACCUCACACAGUGACAUAGAGAGGGCCUCACUUGUCACACCCAAUCUAUCUCAUGAUUUAACUAUCACCAAGAGGCCAACACCCCGCCACAACAUUAGGUGGCCAUGAAUCCCCUCAUGCCAAAGCAUAGAUAGAGCCUCUCAAGCCACUUGGCAGCUAGCAGGGCCUCACCUGUCACCUACCUAGUGAAUUGCUUCGUCACUUGGCACUAGCUAGCCAGCCAGUAAAACGAUCCUGAUCCAAGCUAAAUAUUAAUAUAUUGCAGUAUGUCUCAGAUCCCUGUAAGAAGGUGAUGACAUGUCAAUCCCCAGUACUCCAGUCUGGUCCACUACACCUAUACGAAAAGGUGACACCUAUCCGGUUCCAUCAGGUCAUGGACCAUUCCUUGUAUUGUGGCUGAGCAACACAGAUGCAACUUUCCUUUCCCAGCAACCGCCGGGAAAGCGGAACUGUUCAGGCUCAUGAGUACCAAUAUGGACAAUGCUGAUGCUGGAGUAGGCAUGAGUUGCUCAAGCAACACUAACCUCCAUGCAACGUUCUCAGCACUUGUGUCCUCUAAGGUGUAAAUAAAUGAGAGACUGUAAGACUAGAAAUACGUUGUCGAACCAUGCCAUCAACUGGAUGCUGACCCUCACAGGGUCCUCUGUAUGCAUAUGAUCAUAACACAAUUCAAUAUUGAGCAUGUGCGCCUGUACGUUCAGAUAUCCCACGGGAUAUUGACUUUCUGUCAUGUUAUUCGACUUUCUGUCUGAAACUUUUUACACCAAUAGGUGAAUUAGGAUAUAGAUAAGUUGUGAUGCCACACCUAUUAGACAUAUUGUGACAUCAUUAUUAUACUAAAACAUGUCAUCUUUAAGUUGAGCCAGCCCUACCUUGUACUCAUAGAAAUCGCCAUGGCAGGCCUGCCACGGCUGAUUUAAUCAGUUUCUACUAAGUGUAUGUUUGUUCUUUCAGGGCGAAUUUCACUACUAUCAUAUUUAGCAUUUCAUUAAUAUGUAGCUUCACAGUGGUGCCUUCUUCAGCUUCCGGUAUACGUCCCCUUACUGGAACAUAUCUACAGUUGCAAGAAAAAGUAUGUGAAUCCUUUGGAAUGAUAUGGAUUUAUGAACAAAUUGGUCAUAAAAUGCGAUAUGAUCAUCAUCUAAGUCACAACAAUAGACAAUCACAGUCUGCAUAAACUAAUAACACACAAAGAAUGAAAUGUUGCCAUGUUUUUAUUGAACACACCAUGUAAACAUUCACAGUGCAGGUGGAAAAAGUAUGUGAACCCUUGGAUUUAAUAACUGGUCAAACCUCCUUUGGCAGUAAUAACUUCAACCAAACGUUUCCUGUAGUUGCAGAUCAGUUGUGCACAACGGUCAGGAGUAAUUCUUGACCAUUCCUCUUUACAGAACUGUUUCAGUUCAGCAAUAUUCUUGGGAUGUCUGGUGUGAAUCGCUUUCUUGAGGUCAUGCCACAGCAUCUCAAUAGGGUUGAAGUCAGGACAUAUUUUCUUCUGUUGUUUAAGACAUUCUGUUGUUGAUUUACUUCUAUGCUUUGGGUCAUUGUCCUGUUGCAACACCCAUCUUCUGUUGAGCUUCAGCUGGUAGACAGAUGGCCUUAAGUUCUCCUGCAAAAUGUCUUGAUAAACUUGGGAAUUCAUUUUUCCUUCGAUGAUAGCAAUCCAUGCGGGCCCUGACGCAGCAAAGCAGCCCCAAACCAUGAUGCCCCCACCACCAUACUUCACAGUUGGGAUGAGGUUUUUUUCGCCACACAUAGUGUUGUGUGUUUCUUCCAAACAACUCAACUUUGGUUUCAUCUGUCCACAGAAUAUUUUGCCAGUACUGUUGUGGAACAUCCAGGUGCUCUUGAGCAAACUGUAAACGUGCAGCAAUGUUUUGUUUGGACAGCAGUGGCUUCCUCUGUGGUAUCCUCCCAUGAAAUCCAUUCUUGUUUAGUGUUUUACGUAUUGUAGAUUGUAGAUGUUAGCAUUUGCCAGUGACUUUUAUAAGUCUUUAGCUGACACUCUAGGAUUCUUCUUCACCUCAGUCUGUGCUGUGCUCUUGCAGUCAUCUUUACAGGACGGCCACUCCUAGGGAGAGUAGCAGCAGUGCUGAACUUUCUCCAUUUAUAGACAAUUUGUCUUACCGUGGACUGAUGAACAGCAAGGCUUUUGGAGAUACUUUUAUAACCUUUUCCAGCUUUAUGCAAGUCAACAAUUCUUAAUCGUAGGUCUUCUGAGAGCUCUUUUGUGCGAGGCAUCAUUCACAUCAGGCAAUGCUUCUUGUGAAAAGCAAACCCAGAACUGGUGUGUGUUUGUUAUAGGGCAGGGCAGCUGUAACCAACACCUCCAAUCUCAUCUCAUUGAUUAGACUCCAGUUGGCUGACAUCUCACUCCAAUUAGCUCUUGGAGAUGUCAUUAGUAUAGGGGUUCACAUACUUUUUCCACCUGCACUGUGAAUGUUUACAUGGUGUGUUCAAUAAAAACAUGGCAACAUUUCAUUAGUUUAAGCAGACUGUGAGUGUCUAUUGUUAUGACUUAGAUGAUGAUCAGAUCACAUUUUAUGACCAAUUUGUGCAGAAAUCCAUAUCAUUCCAAAGGGUUCACAUACUUUUUUUUGCAACUGUACUUCUAUUAUAUGUCUUGGGCCCCUACAUGGCUAAGUGUCGCUAUUGAUUGAAUCAAUCAUGUCAAGCCCAACUUGGGCCUACACAUAUGGUUCACAAAUAUAAACUAACUUGUAUAUACAUUCACUGUAGUUACAUUAACUACAACACUCAUGGGACUCAUUAGCUAACAAAGGUUUACUUUGGUUUAGUUAUACUAAUUACGGGUUGUUGGUUGGCUUCUCAUACACUUGUUAGCUUGAAUUGUCCACCGUUAUGGUCCUUGUAGAUACUUUUCAUCGUAUAUUCUUGUUGAUACUGAUACUAGUUACCUAUGCAAAUCUUGGUUUUCUUCAGCAUUGAUACUUUUCCGGUUCUCAACCCUUUCUACAUUAUUAUUUCCCCUAUAUAAGUUGGUUUGUCAACUUGGCCCUCACUAUAUUAAUCACUUAUCUACGUUCAUCACUACGUUCAGCUAUCCCAUUAUUUUCAAGCAACAGGGGCUUAUACAUGUGACAGGUUCACGAUUCACUUACUUUCCAGAGUUUCUGCAUUAUUAGAAUUUUGCUAUAUGCGUUAAUGCUAUUAAUUUAAGUUUGAUGUCAUAUACUGGUAUUUUCAUAUUCAUGCCACCUGGUUUAGUCUAAGUCGCUUGUGUUACCCCUCAAUUGUUUGCAAGGUUUAUAUUGGUUGUCACUUACAUGUUUACAACAAUUUCCUUAUCCCUUGUAGGGCUCACGUGUCUUGCACAUUCAACUAUUUCAAUGUACACAGUAUUACUCAUCCAGGUUCUAAGGUAUUUCAAGUUUUGCCCUUAGUGGUCUCCCAGCAAUUGCUGUCACCAAGACUUUCCAUUACUAUUCACAUCCAAGGUAUGUGGUCCUUCAGUACAUAAUGUUGGUUAUUAUGUCUCUGGUUGUGUUCACCACUUUUUUUGCCACCUUCAGUUUAGGCUAUCUCACUAUACCAUCAAGUUACGCCUGACUGGCAUCCAACAUCACGUUUCUCUACUUUCCAACAAAGUCAGUUUCCUUUCAUCCUAUCCAAUAAGACUAUACUUAGGGGUAUCCAAAUAUGUCUAAUUUGCUAGAUUCAGCCCCUUUCAUACCCCUCACAAACUCUGAAACCGCUAUUUACCUGGCCUUUUAUGGCUUCCUGAGGCCACGAGAAUUCACCAUCAGUGGCCAACACAAUGCACAAGGUUGUUUCACUGGCAAGCUCUCUAACUACUCACACUUUCAAACAUGUGGUUGAUUUCUUAAUUAGUGGUUUUACACAGGAUUUUUAUACUGGUAUUAUUCACUUACUGACAGGUAUUGUAGAAUGCAGCAACAUCCAAUCAGCUAUGGCUGGUACUAAUGCAGUUGAUACACUUUUACAUCUAGAACUGGGAGAAGGGUUUUUAUAAGGAUCUUUUAAGGAACCUCCAUUCUCUAACUGGAGGACUAACACUACAGGUUUGGUCACAGGGAAAUGGGCUGGCUGCUCAGUUUGAUGUCUGUCCGACAACCAAGCUACUUACCAUAUCAUUCACAAAAGGCGUUCAUCCUCACUGGCUAUCAUGAGGUUCUUUAGGAGACUGACUUGGCUAGCUGCCUGUAAUCACUUUUAUUUGGUUUGUUGUCAUGUCCCUGCAGUUUUCAAUACCGUAACUGACCAAUUGUCUUGCUUUCAAUUCCAGGCAUUCCGAGAAACCCUACCUACUGCCUCGCAUCUACCCACAGCCGCCCCUCCAUUCCAAGAACUAGUCAUGGAUUAAGUGACUUACUGGUUCAUAGUCAAGUUUUAACUAGCAUGGCCCUAUCAACUAACACUCGUCAAUCAUACAAUAGAGCUUUCAUUUUAUAUAAGAAAUUCAUGUCUGAACAUAAUGAGGAUAACAUGUUUGACAUUACAUCUCUGGUAGCAUUCGCUACUUUUCGCCAACUUAAGUUAGGACUAUCCCAUGAUACUAUCAAGCUAUACCUAACUGGCAUUCAGCACCAUAUGCAUUCAACUCACCCAGACAGUACCAGUUUCCUUUCCUCAUAUCCAAUCAAGACCAUACUCAAAGGCAUAAACAAAGCCAGCGGUCCUACUCCUCAUGAAAGGUUGCCCAUUGAUAAACAGUUGUUUAAAGAUAUGUCGGACUUGCUAGUGUCAGCCCCUUUUGAAUCCCUCACAAACACAGUCAUUAAAAUUGCCAUGUACCUGGCUUUUGUGGAUUCCUUAGACCACAAGAGUUUACCAUCAAUAGUAAACUUAACUCCCAAGAUUGCCUUAUGCGUUCCUAUCUAAUAAAACACCAGGGUCACAACACACUGUCUCUACCGUUACCAAAACUAGUCAACUGGCAUAACUAGUCCAGAUCCCAUACUACCCCAUACAUAAUAGAUGGUGCCCAGUGUAGGUUUUUGAUUCUUAUCUCCUAGCACUACCUACACUAUCAGCACAACCAAUGCUGUCACUUCACGGGGCGGUUCUAACUACCUCAAAAUUCAUGCUGUACGUACGAUUAUUACUUACAAGAGUAAGUGGGUUGAAUCCUAGUAAAUAUUCAGGUCUCUCUUUCAGGAUAGGGGCUGCUUCUACCGCAUCCAGCCAGAACAUACCAGUCCAAGUUAUCAAGUCUCUGGGUCGUUGAAGUCCUCCGCUUUUUCAGUAUACAUAUCUCAACCGGUACAGGAAAUGCAGAAGGCUUUUAUAAAAAUGUC